AGCAGCAGCCGCCGCCGACUGAGGAGCCGCAGCCAGGGAGCCAGCCAGCGCCGCCCAGUGCCGAGUGCGCAGCGGCCGCGCACGGAAACAGCCGAGCUAGGCCCGGAGCAGCUCGAGCGGCCCCGCCCCCGCGCUGGGGACGGAACUUGCCGAAGACCUUCGGGUUUCUUCGGGCGACGAGAAGGGGUUCCGCGGGGAGAGGGAAGGCGAAGGCGGGCUGAGCCCGGCGCCGGGAGGAGUGGUCUAAACUCCACCGCGGCUUUCGCAUCGGAGACGUGUCUUUAGGAAGCAGAGAGGGUUCGAUUCUGGACUCCGCCCAUGACUCACUUCUCUUGUAAAGAAAGAGUUGUCCUUCCUGGUACUCCAGGUUUAUGGGAUGCAGGAUAAUGGAGCAUGCUCUAUCUGGGACAUUGCUAGUCUUAUGACAGAGGGAGAAGACAGCGAUGGUAACUUUGCUGGGACUAUGAUAGAAUCAUGAAAUCAUCCAGGCCUUUAAAAAUGUUCAUCACAACAUUUAAUCUGGACAUCAUUUGUAGCAAUUACCACCAUUUCAGUUUUAUACAACACCAUGAAAGGGCUCAGCUGGCAGUAGUUUUCGAAGAACUCCAGGAAGUGGCUGCAGAGCAAAGUAGGAUCCUGAUACUGAUCACACUUUUGUCAAGAAGCCAAAGAACAAAGUUGAUUAAAGCAUUAUGCCUGGAAAUAAAGGGGAACAGGACAUCAGCAAAAUUCUUUUUAUCCAUUCACACAUUGAAGACAUGUAAGAUCAAUGACACACAAAAUGGAAGAGAAAUCUUAAUCACACGUGUGAAGACUAGCAGGUAUUUUUUUCCUGUGCACAUCAACGGGCUGUAUUGUGGCAUAUACAUGAAAGGGUGAAGUGCUUGAUGUCUUUAGUUUAUGUUUUCCUAAAACUCCAUGCUACUAGGAG
rnacentral:lncRNA from 1 species